rnacentral:sRNA from 1 species
AAUCUGGCCCUUUGUUUUUCUCUGUUACAGAUAGCUUGCCUCAGUUGGUAGCUUGUCUUUUCUCUCUCCUCAUGAUGUCCAUAAUUUUAAAAUGUCUCCUAUUUCCAGAACGCCAAUCUGAAUUGCCAACGCAAAGCAAAGCGAGCUUCCCCAGUAUUCUCAGUGACCCAGACCCGGAUUCUUCUAAUUCUGGAUUUGACAGCUCAGUUGCCUCUCAGAUCACAGAAGCUUUAGUCAGCGGACCAAAGCCACCUAUUGAAAGCCAUUUUCGACCAGAGUUUAUUCGUCCACCGCCUCCACUCCACAUUUGUGAGGAUGAACUUGCUUGGCUAAACCCCACGGAGCCUGACCACGUGAUCCAGUGGGAUAAAUCGAUGUGUGUUAAGAAUAGCACUGGUGUGGAGAUCAAACGAAUAAUGGCCAAAGCCUUCAAAAGCCCCUUAUCCUCUCCCCAACAAACACAGCUACUUGGUGAGUUGGAAAAAGACCCCAAACUUGUCUACCAUAUUGGCCUCACCCCAGCCAAACUUCCUGACCUUGUGGAAAACAACCCUUUAGUCGCUAUAGAAAUG